CAGGCCAUACCCAGGCGUGGAAGGGCACUGUGGAGGGUGUUGAGAGGCUGUGGCAGGAAAUCAGGCACCUCACACCAGUUAUUUCAGCCAUGAUGGCUCCAUGGUCAGUGAUUUAUUACACACCAGGAUGAGGUAAAGACACCUGGGGUGGCCCCAGGGCCCUCCAUGCCAUCGGAGCUGGCAUCUCCAGCUAGAAAAUGGCCAGUUGUUCUGAUUCGUAGCUCUCCUAGUCAGCUUCCAGUCCAGGGCAGAGGGCAGGGACUGCUAGGGACCUGGGCCCCCUGACAGGCCUGGAACAACGAAGGCAUCCAAGGGCUCCAACUCCAUGGGGAU
rnacentral:lncRNA from 1 species